AUUGAACGCUGGCGGCAUGCCUUACACAUGCAAGUCGGACGGCAGCACAGAGAUUCCUGCUUCUUGGGUGGCGAGAGGCGAACGUGUGAGUAAUAUAUCGGAACGUACCGAGUAAUGGGCGAUAACUAAUCGAAAGAUUAGCUAAUAACGCACAUUCUCUGAGGAGGAAAGCAGGGGACAUUCGGGCCUUUCGUUAUUCGCUCGGCCGAUAUCUGAUUAGCUAGUUGGUGGGGUAAAGGCCUACCAAGGCGACGAUCAGUAACGGGUCUGAGAGGAUGAUCAGCCACACUGGAACUGAGACACGGCCCAGACUCCUACGGGAGGCAGCAGUGGGGAAUUUUGGACAAUGGGCGAAAGCCUGAUCCAGCCAUGCCGCGUGUGUGAAGAAGGCCUUCGGGUUGUAAAGGACUUUUGUCAGGGAAGAAAAGGAUGUUGCUAAUAUCAAGAGCUGAUGACGGUACCUGAAGAAUAAGCACCGGCUAACUACGUG
rnacentral:rRNA from 1 species